rnacentral:rRNA from 1 species
UACAGAGGGUGCAAGCGUUGUUCGGAAUUAUUGGGCGUAAAGCGCGUGUAGGCGGCUUUGCAAGUCGGGUGUGAAAGCCCUCAGCUCAACUGAGGAAGUGCGCCGAAACCUGCAGAGCUUGAGUACCGGAGAGGAUGGCGGAAUUCCCCAAGUAGAGGUGAAAUUCGUAGAUAUGGGGAGGAACACCGGUGGCGAAGGCGGCCAUCUGGACGGAUACUGACGCUGAGACGCGAAAGCGUGGG